rnacentral:sRNA from 2 species
UACGAACCUCGUUAGGUGAGGCUCCUGCAUGGAGAAAUGCUGCUGCCCAGAAACGUCGACAGACGCCAAUGGGUCAACAGAAGCCAUCGACAUAAGGUGGUUUUUAAUGUAGCUGGACGCAAGCUCCUAUGCCAUGCAGUGCUAAAACUCAACGAAUGGAGGUCGCCA